GGGUGAGUAACACGUGAGCAACCUGCCUUGGAGAGAGGGAUAGCUUCUGGAAACGGAUGGUAAUACCUCAUAACAUACAGAGACCGCAUGAUUUCUGUAUCAAAGAUUUAUCACUCUGAGAUGGGCUCGCGUCUGAUUAGAUAGUUGGUGAGGUAACGGUUCACCAAGUCGACGAUCAGUAGCCGGACUGAGAGGUUGAACGGCCACAUUGGGACUGAGACACGGCCCAGACUCCUACGGGAGGCAGCAGUGGGGAAUAUUGCACAAUGGGGGAAACCCUGAUGCAGCGAUGCCGCGUGGAGGAAGAAGGUUUUCGGAUUGUAAACUCCUGUCUUAAAGGACGAUAAUGACGGUACUUUAGGAGGAAGCUCCGGCUAACUACGUGCCAGCAGCCGCGGUAAUACGUAGGGAGCGAGCGUUGUCCGGAAUUACUGGGUGUAAAGGGAGCGUAGGCGGGAUCGCAAGUCAGAUGUGAAAUACAUGGGCUUAACCCAUGGGCUGCAUUUGAAACUGCGGUUCUUGAGUGAAGUAGAGGUAAGCGGAAUUCCUGGUGUAGCGGUGAAAUGCGUAGAUAUCAGGAGGAACACCGGUGGCGAAGGCGGCUUACUGGGCUUUUACUG
rnacentral:rRNA from 1 species